UACCCAAUGAAAAGAGAGGGAGGAAAAAAAGAACAAAAGGGCUGCGCAUAAGAAGAUAACGAGGAGAAGGAACGAAAAAAAAAGAAAAAGCUAAAAAAAGGGUCUAACAAUGGCAGACUACCAAAAAUCAUAUGAGACCCCACCCUGAAAUCCCGUCUCCUUCGACUCCCUUCCCCACCGAACUGCUUCGCCUUCAACAAAGAACGACCACCCUUUCCCCUUUGAAUUUCAUUUUCUUCAGGAUCUCCUCUUCCCUGUCAUUCGUCUUCUUUGACAGACAUAGAGAACUAGCCACCCUUUAAACCCAGAAAAAUAGCUCCAAAGAGCAGCACAGUCAGUCACAAAAAUUACUGAAAAUCAGUCCGAAAAUCCCAAAAAUAAAACCUCAAAACAACCCUGUUCACAGCGAAAAUCAGAGGCAGAACCAUCCACAAAACAACCCCGAAAUUGCUCCGAAUUAACAUAGAAAAACAGUAGCUAUUUUCUAGCCCGAACCUAGUUGAAACCACCCUUGAUCCACUUGAAAACAUCUUUCUUUUCCACAUAGUGCAACAAUGCUUUUUCAAGUCGAGGGAGUAGAGGGGGCCGCCACUGGUUUCCGGUUGUAGUCAUCGUUCUUGUUUUGAUUAUUGAGCUGCAGAAAAUCUGAAAUAGAAGGUCCAUAUUUUAUUCCUCCCUUCUUUUCUUUAUCAUGUUGUAUGUUCGUAUUUGUUUACUUUGUUUAUCAGCCACGUGAAUCUUCUAUUCUUGAUA